GCCCGCCUAGCUCAAUCGGAUAGAGCGUCAGACUUUUAAGCCUUGACAAUUGGCGGGAAUGUGAAUCUGAAGGCUGCGAGUUCGACCCUCGCGGUGGGCU